ACGAAUAAGCACCUAUGGACUUCCAGCUGGAGGAAUUCAGCCACAUCCACAAACCAAAAACAUUAAGAAGAAGACCAAGAAGCGUCAGUGUAAAGUUCUUUUUGAGUACAUUCCACAAAAUGAGGAUGAACUGGUGCUGAAAGUGGGAGAUAUUAUUGAUAUUAAUGAAGAGGUAAGGAAAAAAUGUGUUACAGAUAAAAUAGUAAUGGAAUUGAUGCUGUGGAUUUUAGAAAAAUUAAUUGUAAGAAUAUUAGUCUUUUGUGAGAACUGUUGUCACUUUAAAAAAAAAUGGUAUAGAGUUUCUUUACUCAUCCUUGCUGUAUUUAUGUAUGUAUUUGUAUUUCCUGCCUUUAGGAAUAAAAAUGCCCCCUUAAAGCUAAAAAUUAAUGAAAUCUAAGUAGUUAAGAAUGUAAACAAGCCUUUUCUUUGAUUCUGAAUUUACCAUAGGCAAAAAGCAGUGAAAUAGAAGGAAUUUUGCCUUAGAAGGAAUACAAAGCAAAAUCUUUUUAAAAGCUUUACCAUGUUUGUAUUAUCACAUUCAAAUAUUAAUAAAAAUACUUUCCUACAUUUUGAUAUCUUAGAAGGGGAUUUUAAAAUAUUUUAAAAAUA
rnacentral:sRNA from 1 species